GAUGAAGAACGUAGCAAAAUGCGAUAAGUAAUGUGAAUUGCAGAAUUCAGUGAAUCAUCGAAUCUUUGAACGCACAUUGCGCCCGCCAGUACUCUGGCGGGCAUGCCUGUCCGAGCGUCAUUUCAACCCUCAGGGCCCUCCAGCAGGGCGCUGGUGUUGGGGAUCGGCAGUCCCAGCGGCUGCCGUCCCUGAAAUGUAGUGGCGGUCCCACCGUGACCUCCCCUGUGCAGUACAACGCUCGCAGAGGGACAGCGGUGCGGCCACGCCGUAAAACGCCCAACUCUUCAAGGUUGACCUCGGAUCAGGUAGGACUACCCGCUGAACUUAAGCAUAUCAAUAAGCGGAGGA
rnacentral:misc_RNA from 1 species